AGUGAACGCUGGCGGCGUGCCUAAUACAUGCAAGUCGAACGGAAUUUAAAAGAGCUUGCUCUUUUAAAUUUAGUGGCGCACGGGUGAGUAAUAUAUAGCUAAUCUGCCCCUUGCUGGAGGACAACAGUUAGAAAUGACUGCUAAUACUCCAUACUCCUUUUUACCAUAAGAUAAAUCGGGAAAGAAUUUCGGCAAGGGAUGAGACUAUAUCGUAUCAGCUAGUCGGUGGGGUAACGGCCUACCGAGGCUAUGACGCGUAACUGGUCUGAGAGGAUGAUCAGUCACAUUGGAACUGAGACACGGUCCAAACUCCUACGGGAGGCAGCAGUAGGGAAUAUUGCGCAAUGGGGGAAACCCUGACGCAGCAACGCCGCGUGGAGGAUGACACUUUUCGGAGCGUAAACUCCUUUUGUUAGGGAAGAAUAAUGACGGUACCUAACGAAUAAGCACCGGCUAACUCCGUGCCAGCAGCCGCGGUAAUACGGAGGGUGCAAGCGUUACUCGGAAUCACUGGGCGUAAAGGACGCGUAGGCGGAUUAUCAAGUCUCUUGUGAAAUCUAACGGCUUAACCGUUAAACUGCUUGGGAAACUGAUAAUCUAGAGUAAGGGAGAGGCAGAUGGAAUUCUUGGUGUAGGGGUAAAAUCCGUAGAUAUCAAGAAGAAUACCUAUUGCGAAGGCGAUCUGCUGGAACUUAACUGACGCUAAUGCGUGAAAGCGUGGGGAGCAAACAGG
rnacentral:rRNA from 1 species